GGGGGCGAACGGGUUCGACGGGGACCGUAGGACAGGGUAGCAGGCAGGGUGGCAACCUAAAGAGCCGACCCAAAACAGCUCCCGAAAGAGAGCUUGCUCUUGCUGCCUAACUGAAGGCAGCAGCUCCCCGAGGGCUUGGCCUCUGGGUUCUCGGAAGGGGCUCAUAGACAGGGGUGUAGGCUCCGAUGGUGCAGGUCCCGCCGGAGCUGAAGCUAAAGACCUGCUCGCCCGUAGGGGGUUUGCCGGUGGACGCCCAUGGGUUAAAGGAAAGCACCGGCUAAGCCUGUAGAGGCUCUGGGUUCCGAGCGGUCCUCGGACGCGGGUUCAAUUCCCGCCGCCUCCACCA
rnacentral:tmRNA from 1 species